CAGCAAUGAGGAAGGUGGGUAUGUUAAUAGCAUAUUCAUUUGACGUUAGCUGCAGAAGAAGCACCGGCUAACUCCGUGCCAGCAGCCGCGGUAAUACGGAGGGUGCGAGCGUUAAUCGGAAUUACUGGGCGUAAAGCGCAUGCAGGUGGUUUGUUAAGUCAGAUGUGAAAGCCCGGGGCUCAACCUCGGAAUUGCAUUUGAAACUGGCAAACUAGAGUACUGUAGAGGGGGUAGAAUUUCAGGUGUAGCGGUGAAAUGCGUAGAGAUCUGAAGGAAUACCGGUGGCGAAGGCGGCCCCCUGGACAGAUACUGACACUCAGAUGACGAAAGCGGUGGGGAGACAAACAGGAUUAGACUACCCUGGUAG
rnacentral:rRNA from 1 species